rnacentral:rRNA from 1 species
CCUACGGGUGGCAGCAGUGGGGGAUAUUGCACAAUGGGGGGAACCCUGAUGCAGCGACGCCGCGUGGGUGAAGGAGUGCUUCGGCAUGUAAAGCCCUAUCGGCAGGGAAGAAGCAAGACGGUACCUGACGAAGAAGCCCCGGCUGACUACGUACCAGCAGCCGCGGUAAUACGUAGGGGGAGAGCGUUAUCAGGAUUCACUGGGUGUAAAGGGAGCGGAGACGGCACUGGAAGCCAGUGGUGAAAGCCCGGGGCGUAACCCCGGGACUGCCCUUGGAACUGCAUGGCUUGAGUGCGGGAGGGGCAGGCGGAAUUCCUGGUGUAGCGGUGAAAUGCGUAGAUAUCAGGAGGAACACCGGCGGCGAAGGCGGCCUGCUGGACCGCGACUGACGUUGAGGCUCGAAAGCGUGGGGAGCGAACAGGAUUAGAUACCCGAGUAGUC